GACGAACGCUGGCGGCGUGCCUAAUACAUGCAAGUCGAACGCUGAAGGAGGAGCUUGCUCUUCUGGAUGAGUUGCGAACGGGUGAGUAACGCGUAGGUAACCUGCCUGGUAGCGGGGGAUAACUAUUGGAAACGAUAGCUAAUACCGCAUAACAGUAGAUGUUGCAUGACAUUUACUUAAAAGGUGCAAUUGCAUCACUACCAGAUGGACCUGCCGUGUAUUAGCUAGUUGGUGGGGUAACGGCUCACCACGGCGACGAUACAUAGUCGACCUGAGAGGGGGGUCGGCCACCCUGGGACUGAGACAAGGGCCAGAAUUCUACGGGGGGGAGCAGGAGGGGAACUUCGGCAAUGGGCGGAAGUCUGACCGAGGAACGCCGCCGGAGUGAAGAAGGGUUUAGGGUCGUAAAGAUCUGUUGUAAGGGGAGAAAGAGUGUGAGAGUGGAAAAUUCACACUGUGACGGUAUCUUACCAGAAAGGGACGGCUAACUACGUG
rnacentral:rRNA from 1 species